CCUAUGUGAGAAAUGAAUAUACUUAUAACAUUAUUCCCAUACAGUUCAAGAUGGUAUCAGAGCAAUACGCUCUUAAGACCUAAAACUCACACACAAUUCCUAUGCCGAAAUACAAGUAUCAUAAGAACUUUGAAGUUCUUCAUACUCAUAUUAGUUCCAGAUUCAUACCUAUACUAAUGUUGGUGCCAAUUUCGGCAUCAAUGAGUCAACGAAAGAUCCUUUGAAAUCCAAGUGUAAAGUGGUGGGGUUGUUUUCUUCAAGUGGGCCUAUCUUUUCCUUCGAUUAGUUUGACUACAUGAGUAGCUUUGGUCGUCUACUUGUGACUGAAGGUAUGCCCUGGUGGUCCUGUGCCUAGUCUUGGUCGUCCACCUCUUGUGACUGAAUGUAUGGCCUCGGGCCUUUUUGCCUGAUGUUGGGUGUCCAAGCUCCCUUGUUAGGUGAAACAAAUAGUUUGGCAUUGGGCUUCCUUCGCCUGAUGUUGGGCCUCCACGCUCCUUUGUUGGGUGAAGCUAAUGGUCUUGCCCUGGGCUUCCUUUGCUUGAUGUUGGCGUCCAAGCUGUUGCUCGGGCGUAUAUCAACCUCCUCUUAAGCAUCCAGUCUGGCUCAGGCGUGCAAUAUUCUCCACCUGACGUUGGGCAUCCAACUCCUCGAGUUGGCGGAGCUCCAUGGAAAACACCUGCAAAUGUGAAGAGAUGGAAGGUUAUCGGAGGACCAGCCUAAGGCCGGCCAAACACACUCCGAUGCCUAAGUUAGAUAAGUGUGUUUGAACAUUUAUGGAGAUUGGAGAAGAAAGAAUGAUGUUUAAGCAUUUUGACAUAAGAAUGAAGUUGACAUGUCAAUAGAGAAAGAGAGAGAAGAGAUUAUGCAUUUUGGCAUAGCUUUGGGAGAGAAGAGAGAGUUGAUUCCGUCCCCUUCUGCUUGUGAAGGACUGAUAUUUAUAGGAGAAGGAGUAGUUGAGGUGGAAAGGGAUGGUAUGGGUUCUUCCCAAAAAUCAGGGUGUCAGCCCCAUAAUUUCUGCUUCUUGACAUUCCAUCUGACAAAGUUGGUGACAGAUGUCACAACUAUGUGGUCUCUUCCUUUCACGUCACUCUUGGGCCAUGCCCACGGACCAUACCUAUCAUCAGAGCAUGACACCUGGCCUAGUAGGUGAGAGUUGGCCCUUGAUUUCCAUUAACUAUGUCCCAUUGCAAUGACUUUGUCUGAGAGUGAGUUGAUAGUCCAGGCUUUAGCCUUGGAGUUCGUGACCAAGAUUCUUAGAGGUCGAGGCUUUUAAGCUUGGGGGUCGAACUCUUGGUCUUGGGGUUUGAGGCUCUUGAUUUCUUUGGAAUGCUUUUCUAGUAAUGAGGUCGUGAUAUGCUUUUGCCUUGCCAUCCAAUGUGGUGAGUCAAUCACAUGGUGACUGUCCAAGGUUGAAGACUUGGAGUACCAAAGUGAGGCAUCUCAAUAGUCAUGGUUAUUUUCAUCUUAGGAUUAUCUUUUCUUUCUAGAUGAAGGGUUUAAGUGCGUUGAAAGGUCAGAGUCUUACGUGGACUCUUUGACAUUUCAACGCGUCCUACGUGGAAUGGGUUGAACAGUCAAAAGUCUUUAUCGAACCAAAUUAUGACAUCAACAACUAAUACCAAGACUACUACGACUAUACAAGAGAGUAAGCCACUAGAUCCGGCCCAAGACCCGACCUGGUUUUUGUUCGCCUCGACGCCGACGAUCAACAGCCCAUCUGCACGCCAACGUUCUUCUACCAGAAACCUUUUGCAUCACCGGCCUCAGCAACUUCCGGCCCAGAACCAGUAUGGCCUUCGACUGGAAACCUCCACCUGCAUCCAGAUCAACCGUGAUAUUAGCUAUCUUAGCGACGACCUCUGACAAUCUCAGCGUCCUCCUCGCAGUCAGUCUGAGUCCGCCUUCACCUGUAGACUCAGCGCCAAUCUGACCACCGACCUCCCUGGAUGCCUCAAGGCCCACCCGAAUUCGACCCACUCCAACAAAAGCGACCUCAGCUGCACGACCAAUCUGCCCUUCGACCAAGACUUGCACUCCAUGACCUGACAUCUUGAAAUUACAGAAUGGGUACUUAUGCCACUAUUUAAAGUGAUAAGAAAUCUGGCCAACAACUUUAACUUAUGGUUUAAGAUUCCAGAGUGGUUUCAGUCCUAAAUUUGGAUUGCAGAAUAACUUCGAUCCUAAUCGAAACCACUAAUCAAAUCGCAACAAGGUUAUGACUUUCUCAAUUUACCAAACCAUCAACAGAAGCUAAAAGCAUCACACACAAACUCCAAAUUUGUUGAAGCAGUAAAACCCUUAGAGAUUGGAAACAACUGCGGGCACUAUGCUGCUAACAAAUCCACUAAAGAAAUAAGUACAUAAAGAACUUACAGAUGCUCAAUCUACCUAGACCCAAUCUAGAAGGCAGCUCUGUCUUUGCUUUGCCACUGACUUCACCAGCUGAACUUGUAACUCCUUUGUCAAUCUUCAGAUGGCACAACUCCCACAACGUCGUCAAUCAUCUCAAGGCACAAAGACAUGUAUGCAACACACAAGAAGACAUACACAAAUGGUGUUUUAAAGGUAUGGUUUUCUGGGUUUAAUAAUCAUUUGGAAGCUAGACAUGGAACAGCUUACCAAGACAUUAUCAAAGAAGAUUUUCGCUCAGUGCAUUUCUAGAGAGAUCUGAUGAUAAGGGAAACUGAAGAACAGUGCUCUCUAAAUGCAAGUGUGUGGCUAGCUGAGUGUGAUAACCUAUUUAUAUGGAAACACUCGAGCUAGGGCUGACUGGAUAUGUGCAAUAAAGAUAACUCACUUGAUUAAGAUCAGACACAUUAAAUAAAGCAAACUUAAAACAAACUGCCAGCUCAGCUUAGACACACAGGAUUGAAAUGCAAGUCUCAUCCUAAUCUAGGAUAGAUAAGAACCUUCAAUCCUAAAAGCAGCAAGCAAUAUGAAUGCAAUUUAUACCUGAUGAUGUUGAGGAGGGAAGAUCCAUAGAACUUGAAGCACAACAUUCUUCUAAAGAUCAAAGAGAUAGAGGCUAAAACUAGAUACAAGAGAGUCUUAGAUAAUGAGCUUGGAAAUGCCAAUUACAAAACAUUUUUUUGCACUAACACAUCUGUAGGUUCAAACCCGAUCCAGCCUCGACGUCAACGACCGGCCAGCAUCCUUCCGUCACAGCUUCAGACUCACCAUGAACCAGCACCACCCUCUUAGCCAAACGUUGACCUGGACCUGCCCUUGUACAUGACCUGCACCGCUGCCGGCAAUUUCGACCUCGACUACUUCAUCUGCGUCUCUGCAUCUGCCAAGGCUCUAUCUUUUACAUCUGAGUCUUCUGCACAGUCAGAUUGACUACUAGCUCUCAGACUUCAACCUCAUACACCCGUCUCUUCGAAUUAGAAAAACCAACACUAUGGCUGACCAAGAAGUCAACAAUGACUCAUCCCAGAAAGACUCUAUGAGAAAGGCUGAAUCUUCAUCCCAGGUUAUGGGACAAUCCUACUCAAAUGAUCAUGGUCCAAUUGCUCCUAAUAAAUUGGAUAGCACAAACUUCAUCUCAUGGGCCAAACAUGAUAAAUUGAAUAUUACUGGGAGAGGAAAACUUGGAUAUAUUGUUAUGACCCGAACCAAAAAUUUUACCUGUUUACUAACCAUUGGAUGGUAAACGGCAAUUUCGUCCACUUUUUACUUUAGUUUCGGUACUUUUAGUGGCCCUAAUAGUUGAAAAUUUUCUUCAUGAAAGUCGUAGAGGACGUUAAUUAAACCAAGUCCGUGCAUAUGUGGUACGCAAAAGUCGAAGUUUGUAUGCGAAAGUUAUAGCUGAAAAACUAAAGUUACUGUUCAUGGUAAUUUUAUAUAUAUAUGAAAAGUUACUGUGGUAGGUCAGAAACCACCCCGGUAAAUCUCUCUCUCUGUCUCUCUCCCUCCCUCUCUCUCCCCUACCUCCCCCCCCCUCCCCCGCGCGCGUCGGCGUCCUUCACUCUUUUCUUCGAUUCGUCGCCGUCCGGCCACUAAUCGACGUGUCACAGGUUUUGUUGGAACCGUCUCUUCCUCCUCUACACACUUAUAACAGUGGGUCAUCGUGAUUUGGCCGAAGAAGAGAGAAUUUGAGCUGAGAAUGUCACUGUAGCAAAUCGCGGUUUUUCACCGAUUUCUUCCAAUUUCGGUCACCAUCUUCAACAAAACCGGUCAUUUUGGAACGCCUAUUCUUCAUAGAUGAAUCACUCCAAGUUUCAUAACCCAAUUUGAGGUGUGGAAGGAGAAUCGAAGAAUUGAAGAGGUUAGUGUGCAAAUCGGCAGAUUUUCGAUCAAGCUCCAAUUCCGGCAAUUCAAGGUAGUUUUGGAUUUUGUUGUAGUUGAGAAAAGUGUUGGACUUGUUGAGAUGAUGAUGUUGCUAGAAUUUGGUGACCUGAAUAGGAGUUGGCGCGUGGAGCAUGUUUUGAUUUCCUGUUUUUAGCUAGUUAAACCAUAUAAGUGUUGUAGAAUCUGUAAAUCUGAUUUUUGUGGAAAUUGGAGAAGUUUAGUAUUGAUUAUGAAUUUUCUGGAAUUUGGAAUUUCGGUUUGUGAUUUACGAGAAUCCGACCGUCAAAUCUGUCCUUGAAUCUAUAAAUCAAUGAAUUGGGGUUAGUGGUGAAGUUUGGGUUGAAUCUGAGAAGAAAUAGAGAUAUUGGUUUACGAGGGGUUUUCGGGUUUCGUUUUAGAAUCGUAUUUAUUUGUCGAAUUGUUGUUUACGGAAUAUAAUUGUGUACAGGAUGAGGUACCAACCUAUCGCUCGACGAGGAUCCUUACGCUUAGGUGCCACGUUAGCCGUAUACUGUUCAACACGGACCAGGUGACAGUGGUCACAGCAGUGUCAAAGCCAUUCUAAAGCUUUAAAGUGUGGAGACGAGAACAACAACUAUAGUGCGGCCAAGUAUCGGAACUCCAGGAUUCAAACUCAAGGAUUUGUUGCAGGUCUCGGUCAAGGCAAUUUCGAGCACAGCAGUUUUGUGUUGCUGCUGGAACCUGGGAAAGCAAGGCCUGCUGCUGGGAUUUUAAGAACCAACGGCCCUUGCCUGGAACUUGAGGGCAAAAUGUUGGCCGAAGGCAUAGCCGGAGCUCAACGAUGAUACGGCACCCUAAGGCACGCCGCGUCGGAGCUCGACGACAAUAUCGGCACCCUACGGCACGCCGUGAUGGAGUUCGAGGACGAUACGGCACCCUAAGGCACGCCGUGCUGGAGCUCAACGACAAUAUCGGCACCCUAAGGCACGCCGUGUCGGAGCAUAUAUGAUAUACCGUAGGGUAUCUGUCGCUGGAGGCCUGCAUCAUUUGAGAAUAGCAAAGGAAAAGGUGCACAUCGGUGGUGGAAGUCUCACCCUCUUUUUCCUUGCUUUCUUCCUCUCCUCAGCUGCUAUCCUCUGCUUCUUCACAGUCCUCCUCCCGCUGCUAUGCUCCUCCCUUGCUUCUUCACGGUCCUCUGAUGCUGCUAUGUGCUAUUGUCCUUCGCCCCCCUUUUUCUUUUCUUCACAUCAUGCUUAUAUAGUGCACUAGUGACGAGUUUGACUUGCAUACAACAUUGAGAGUUUUAGAGUUCAACUCGAAGUGAACUAGUUGGAAACUUUAUCUCCACAAUUUCUUUCUUCUCUUCUGACGUCAAAACUGUAACUUAUUUUUUAAUUGCAUUGUUGGCAAGACUUCUAACAAACCUAGAAGUCCAAUGCUUUACGAGCUUGACAAUUGUACUUCUUCACAAUCUUUUGUCUUUUGCCAAAGAAAUGCACUAGACGUCAAUCUCGUUGUAA